AAAUUUCUCUAGAGGGCAUGGGCAACAGUACUAGGAGGCAGCGUCUCAGCGGAACUCUCCUGCUAUCGCAGUUUAGUUAGUGUGUACAUUCAUUUUAGAGCUGAGACUUCACUGAUAUCCAACCCUCUGCUUAGUAUCCCAGAAACCCAGAAAAAAUGGAGAACUUGAUGGUAUCCAUGAUUUCUAAACCCCCUGUGCCGAUCAUGAACACACAAGACACUCUAUCAAAAUUCUCACCAAAAAAUACAUCUUCAAUUUCCUCCUCCGUAAAACCCCACCCAAGAAUCACAGAUUCACAUUUGAAUUACCUCUGCAAAAAUGGUCGCUUGAGUGAGGCCGUAACGGCUCUUGAAUCCAUAGCUCAACAUGGGUCCAAGGUAAGACCCAAAACCUUCAUCAAUUUACUCCAGUCCUGCAUUGAUUCAAAUUCUGUUACUCUGGGCCGCCAGGUUCAUGCCCAUAUUAAUUUGGUGGAAGAAAUAACCCCAUUUCUCGAGACCAAGUUAGUUAGUAUGUAUGCUAAAUGUGGCUCCUUAAGGGAUGCACGUAAACUAUUUGAUGAAACGCGGGAGAAAAACUUGUAUACAUGGUCGGCGAUCAUCGGUGCGUACUGCAGAGAGCACAGGUGGAAGGAGGUUGUGGGGUUCUUUUAUAUGAUGAUGGAAUGCAAUUGUGUACCUGACGGAUUUUUGUUGCCUAAGAUAUUGCAGGCAUGUGGGAAUUGUAGGGAUAUUGAGACGGGGGAAUUGGUAUAUUCUUUGGCGGUCAAAUGUGGAGUGGAUAGUUUCCCAUUUGUUAAUAAUUCGAUUUUGGCUGUGUAUUCAAAGUGUGGGAAGUUGAGUUUGGCAAGGAGGUGUUUUGAGAGCAUGGAAAAAAGAGAUAGAGUGGCUUGGAAUACUGUGAUAUCUGGGUAUUGCCAAAUUGGUGAGAUUGAGGAAGCUCAAAGGUUGUUUGAUGCAAUGUAUGAAGAAGGGAUCAAGCCAUGUUUAGUAACUUGGAAUACACUGAUAGCUGGUUAUAAUCAGAUAGGUUUUUGUGACGUUGCAAUGGAAUUGAUGAAGAAAAUGGAGAGUUUUGGGAUAAAUCCUGAUGUUGUCACCUGGACAUCAAUGAUCUCAGGUUUUGCUCAAAACAAUAGGAAAAAUAAGGCACUGGAUUUGUUGAAUAAGAUGAUUUUUGCUGGGGUUGAACCCAAUGGAGUUACCAUUUCCAGUGCAGUUUCAGCCUGUGCAUCUUUACAAGUAUUAAAUCAAGGGUUAGAAAUUCAUGCACUUGCUGUUAAGAUGGGUUUUGCUGAUGAUGUGCUAGUUGGAAAUUCACUCAUCGAAAUGUAUUCGAAGUGUGGGGAAUGGGAAGCUGCUUGGAAGGUCUUUGAUGCAAUAUCAGAGCAGGAUAUUUAUAGUUGGAACUCAAUGAUUGGAGGAUAUUGUCAAGCUGGGUAUUGUGGUAAAGCCAAUGUGCUCUUUAUGAAAAUGCAAAAAUCUGAAAUACAACCUAACGUCAUCACGUGGAAUAAUAUGAUAUCUGGAUAUAUACAAAAUGGAGAUGAGGAUCGAGCCAUGGAUCUCUUUCAGAGGAUGGAAAAAGAUGGGAAGAUAAAGCGCGAUACUGCAUCGUGGAACUCUCUUAUUUCUGGUUAUUUGAAAAUUGGACAAAAGGACAAGGCAUUGAGCAUAUUUCGACAAAUGCAGUCUUGUAGCAUUAGUCCCAAUUCUGUCACCAUUUUAAGUGUCUUACCAGCUUGUGCAAGUUUAGUUACUCUAAAAAAGGUAAAAGAGAUCCAUGGUUGUGUAUUGCGCAGAAAUCUAGAAUCUGUACUCUCUAUUUCAAAUUCACUGAUUGACACUUAUGCCAAAUCAGGGAACAUAGGAUAUUCAAGAACCGUAUUUGGUGGAAUGUUAUCCAAAGAUUUCAUUACCUGGAACUCACUGAUUGGCGGUUAUGUUUUAUUUGGUUGUUCAGAUGCUGCCCUUGAUCUUGUUGAUCAGAUGAUAACGCUGGGACUGAAGCCGAACAGAAGUACUUUUGUGAGUAUUAUCCUUGCACACAGUCUUGCUGGAAUGGUGGAUGAGGGGGAGCAAGCUUUCUCUAGCAUGAUUAACGACCAUCAAAUUAUACCAUCUUUAGAACAUUAUUUAGCUAUGAUACAUUUGUAUGGUCGUUCUGGUAAGCUCAAAGAGGCAAUGGAAUUUAUUGAGAAUAUGCCAAUCAAGCCUGACUUCUCUAUUUGGCUUGCCUUGCUAAAUGCUUGUUUCAUUCAUGGCAAUUUUGGCUUGGCAAUCCAUGCAGGGGAGAGUUUACUUGAUUUGGAACCAGUGAAUUCUAUGAUCCAGCAGUUAGUUUUGCAGGCAUACACUUUAUGUGGAAAACCUGGAGAUGCCUCAAAAGUGAAAAGAUUUGAGAAAGAUAACAAAGUACCAAAACUUAUUGGACAUAGCUGGAUUGAAGUAAAAAAUGUCGUGCAUUCUUUUGUUGCAGGUGAUGGGUCUAAAUCAUACUCAGACCACCUAUUUUCUUGGGUUGAAAGCAUAUCAAAAGAAGUGAAGGCAUUUGAUCUACAUUGCGGGGUUUGCAUCGAGGAAGAAGAGAGAGAAGAAAUUAUUGGCGUGCAUAGUGAAAAACUUGCAUUAGCUCUUGCCUUUGUUUGUGCACCUUCUGUUCCUCGAAGUAUAAGAAUUGUGAGAAACCUGAGAAUGUGUGGAGACUGCCAUAGGAUGGCUAAAUAUAUCUCUAUGAAAUAUGGUUGUGAGAUAUAUUUGAGUGACUCAAAGUGCUUCCACCAUUUUAAAUCUGGGCAUUGUUCCUGUGGCGAUUAUUGGUAGGCUGAAAAAUGAUGACUAAUCUGUGAAUUGGGUGCAAGAUCAGUUCCAGUGACAACAGAGUGGCUCUCUUAGGGGAUAUGGAUAUUGUGCAAGCUGCCAUGGAUCUUGCUCUGGAUAUUCUUGCAUUUUGUACUGAAUCAACUUGUUUGGAAUUUCAAUUAAAGCCUUUGAAGAAACUAGAAGCCCUGAGCAGGUCUGCUGGCCAGAGUGGCUGACAAAGAGAGUUUCUUUUUUCAUGCCCAAGUCCAUUGUGUAGACAGGUGCAAUUACUGGUGUUUUUGAAAUGGAAGUUUACUGAUUCUGAAUGGUUUUUUACAUGGGUAUUUUGAUCAGAUAGCUUUUGAUCAUGUCACAGCCAGACUCGAAAUAGUUGGCAACCAGAUCAAGAAUUUUCGGAGUGCCUACUGUUUAUGGUCAUCAAACACAUUACUUUAAACAACACAGAAAUCUGUGCCUUUGGGAACACUGGCAAGGAACAUUAUCGUUCUCAAGCGGGCUCGAUGCAGUGGACUGCAUGAUGAGGCAAACCUUCAAUCAUGGAGAGGUAAAACAUAGGCAAAAAAUAUUCUAGUUCCCAGUUUGUAUGAAAGUUUUUUUCACAAGCUCUUUAUAUAUUGGUUUACCGUGAAUUUUUAGGAGUAAUAUAUUCUGAUGAAAAAAAAUGUUUGAAGAGCUAGAAUUUUCUAUGUAUUUAUGCAUUCAGCAAUUUAUAUGUCAAUCAGAUGCAACCUGUUGCUGAUGUUACAGUUUGGACAUUUCUUACCAUUUAACUCUCUGUGCUGGCCUCAUGUUUGUUCAAUGGA
rnacentral:misc_RNA from 1 species